GCCCCCAUAGCUUAAUGGAUAGAGUACUCCGCUUCGGACGGAGUGAUGUGGGUUCAAUUCCUGCUGGGGGCACCC
rnacentral:tRNA from 2 species